CAGAAAAUGGAUUGCUUCUUGUCUUAGCUCCCCUUCACAUCAACUUCUCUUGUUUUUGCAGGUUGCUCCAACUCUGUGCUCCAGAAGUGGUGACUUUGAGGUGUGACCCUGCCCACAUUUGGGCCCAACCGGUGCCAGCUUCUCAAUAAGGAGGUCUUGACUUGAUAAGACGAGAAAAACAGUGUCAACCAGUGAUAGCCCGUAGAGGAAAAAAGAAGUAAACACGGAGCCAUUUCUUCCUGCGUGUGGAUGGUAGUUCUCGCAGGGGGAAAUUUCACGGUUUAUCAGUUGGCAAAAAAAUGGAGUUCUAUGACAGAGGCUUCUUAG
rnacentral:lncRNA from 1 species